ensembl:Y_RNA Y_RNA Y RNA
AGCUGAUCCAAGUGCAGUGGUGUUUACGAUUAAUUGAUCACAACCAGUUACAGAUUUAUUUCUUCUUGACUCUCACUGCUUCAUUUGACUAGCCUUAG